rnacentral:tRNA from 1 species
GUCAGGAUGGCUAGGCGGUCUAAGGCGCCAGACUCAAGUUCUGGUCUCCAUUUGGAGGCGUGGGUUCAAAUCCCAAUCCUAACA